rnacentral:sRNA from 1 species
GAUUAGCCCAGAUAGAAGUGAAAAUCUUCGAUUGAAAAAAACUAUUUUUUCUUUUUAAAAAAGAGCGACCCAAGAAGCUCCUUUUUUAAAAAUAGAAAAAAAGUUUUAUGAUUGAGAAAUUGAAACGAAUAGCUGGAUAAAGC